CCUACGGGAGGCAGCAGUGAGGAAUAUUGGUCAAUGGACGAGAGUCUGAACCAGCCAAGUAGCGUGAAGGAUGACUGCCCUAUGGGUUGUAAACUUCUUUUAUAUGGGAAUAAAAUGUUCCACGUGUGGGAUUUUGUCUGUAACACAUGAAUAAGGAUCGGCUAACUCCGUGCCAGCAGCCGCGGUAAUACGGAGGAUCCGAGCGUUAUCCGGAUUUAUUGGGUUUAAAGGGAGCGUAGGUGGAUUGUUAAGUCAGUUGUGAAAGUUUGCGGCUCAACCGUAAAAUUGCAGUUGAAACUGGCAGUCUUGAGUACAGUAGAGGUGGGCGGAAUGCGUGGUGUAGCGGUGAAAUGCUUAGAUAUCACGAAGAACUCCGAUUGCGAAGGCAGCUCACUGGACUGCAACUGACGCUGAGGCUCGAAAGUGUGGGUAUCGAACAGGAUUAGAUACCCUUGUAGUC
rnacentral:rRNA from 1 species